rnacentral:rRNA from 1 species
AACGAACGCUGGCGGCAUGCCUAACACAUGCAAGUCGAACGAGACCUUCGGGUCUAGUGGCGCACGGGUGCGUAGCGCGUGGGAACCUGCCCUUAGGUUCGGCAUAACUCCCCGAAAGGGGUGCUAAUACCGGAUAAUGUCUUCGGCCCAAAGAUUUAUCGCCUUUGGAUGGGCCCGCGUUGGAUUAGCUAGUUGGUAGGGUAAAAGCCUACCAAGGCGACGAUCCAUAGCUGGUCUGAGAGGAUGAUCAGCCACACUGGGACUGAGACACGGCCCAGACUCCUACGGGAGGCAGCAGUGGGGAAUAUUGGACAAUGGGCGAAAGCCUGAUCCAGCAAUGCCGCGUGAGUGAUGAAGGCCUUAGGGUUGUAAAGCUCUUUUACCCGGGAUGAUAAUGACAGUACCGGGAGAAUAAGCUCCGGCUAACUCCGUG